CCCAAAUCCAACUAUGGCAGAAGAUAAUAAAAUGUAAAAUAUCUCCAAAUUUAUCUCCAAAUCCAAACAAAUUAGAAAUAACCAAAUAACUCAACUCAAAAUAGAGAAAAUAUACAACUUUCCAAAAAUAACUUUAAAAUGCAGGCCUAAAUAGUUGAAUUUCGGUUCCAAACUCGGCCAGAAUAGCUUUGCGGUUCAAAGUAUAG
rnacentral:lncRNA from 1 species